UGCUUUAUGGCGAACAAAAUCGUGAACACAGUAAUGAUAACAAUGUAACAUGAUAUAAAUGGAAGACGCACUGGACUGGGAGUCAGAGGAGCUACUGGAGGAGGUUGUGGAGGGCAGCAGUGCACUUCGAUGGAGAGAGAAAGCCUGGAGUUCCCCCUAGAGGUUGUUGUGUGCAGGAAGUUGGCACUGGCUGUUGGCUGCGAGCUCACAUGGGACUGUCGAUCAGAAGACUCACCUACAGCCUCUUAUCACAGCUUGGACUUCUCACCACAGGGUGGCUGGAUUGCAAGAAUUGUAAAAGUCCCAGAAAGAAGCCACUAAGCCUUAUAUGACUUCACCUUGGAAACACAAUAACAUCACUUUCACUGACUAGAAUUAACCAACAACCAUUAAAAUGUCCUAGAUUUAUGGGGAGAUGAA